GACGGAGGGCGCAAGCGUUGUUCGGAUUCACUGGGCAUAAAGGGCGCGUAGGUGGUCUAGUCAGUUGGGUGUGAAAGCCCCCGGCCCAACCGGGGAAUUGCAUUCAAUACUGCUAGACUUGAGAGCAGGAGGGGUGGAUGGAACUCCAGGUGGAACGGUGAAAUGUGUAGAUAUCUGGAGGAACACCGGUGGCGAAAGCGGUCCACUGGCCUGCUACUGACACUGAGGCGCGAAAGCCAGGGGAGCGAACGGG
rnacentral:rRNA from 1 species